GAACGACUCUCGGCAACGGAUAUCUCGGCUCUCGCAUCGAUGAAGAACGUAGCGAAAUGCGAUACUUGGUGUGAAUUGCAGAAUCCCGUGAACCAUCGAGUCUUUGAACGCAAGUUGCGCCCGAAGCCCUCGUGGCCMGGGCACGUCUGUCUGGGCGUCACGCA
rnacentral:rRNA from 1 species